rnacentral:rRNA from 1 species
GUCGGCUCAUCGCAUCCUGGGGCUGGAGAAGGUCCCAAGGGUCCGGCUGUUCGCCGGUUAAAGCGGUACGCGAGCUGGGUUCAGAACGUCGUGAGACAGUUCGGUCCUUAUCCACUGUGGGCGCAGGAAACUUGAGGGGUUCCAACCUUAGUACGAGAGGACCGGGUUGGACGCACUUCUGGUGUGGCAGUUGUUCCGUCAGGGGCAUCGCUGCGUAGCCAUGUGCGGAAGAGAUAAGCGCUGAAAGCAUCUAAGUGCCAAGCUCCUCCCAAGAUAUUGUUUCCCGGGGCGCAAGCCCCCUGAAGACCACGGGCAGACUACCCGUUUGAUAGGUUGGGCGUGCAAGCGCUGUGAGGCGUUCAGCGGACCAGUACUAAUCGGUCGUGCGGCUUGAUCGUA